GCCUAGUACAGAUGUAACCUCCAGUAUGAAUAGGAGAAUUCAUUAGGCAUCAAGGUCUUUAAACUCAUUGGGACUAAACAGCACUUUACCUCACACCAUAACUGUUAGCAAGUGAUUUAGUGACAAGGGAUUGAUGAGGUACAUUUCCCUGGAGGGCACGGUAAAUAAAUUUUUUUGUCCUGAAGCAUUUUUACAGAAAUGUUUAUGUAUUCAAGUAUCCAAAGUUAAUUCAUUUUCAGUAGUUUGACAGAUUUUUUUUAUUUUUUUUCCAAUGACCAAUGAAAAUCUUGUGUGAGUUCAUCUCUUUUUACGGUAUUAUUUUGAACUUUUCCUGCAUGAUCUAAUCUCACAGUGGAAAACUAAAUAAAAGUUUAUUGGUAAGCAGGAAUGAAUUCACUGGCCUGCUCAGCUGGCAUUAUAGAUGAAAACAAUGCUUUGACGUUUUGGAACAGUACUUUUCCAUGGUUUUGGAAGUCAUGAUGGUGAUGCUUAGCAAAUCAUCUGCAUCAUUUCCCUAAUUGUGCCAUAGCACUCCUUAGGAAGACCAUCAGUAUGAUCUUAGCUAAUUUUCAGAUGCCUCAUUUGUAUUGCAAGAUAGAUUUAAAAAAAAAAAAAAAAAAAGCCUCUAGCUAUUCUAGUUAUCACAUGGUCUUUCUCUUUCAAGGUUUCUUUACGGUCUCUUCGGUUUUGUUUCUUCUUGUUUCUGCAGAGGCUCAUGCAGAUGUGAGUGAUAACAUGAGGCCGUCAUAAGGCAAGAAUCAUGUGUCUCCAGACAUCUUCUAAAUGGACUGAGUGAUGAAUCACAAAGCUGAAGCAACAACAAAUACAGGACAGACCAGCAAGAAUAAAACCAUCAUCUCAAUACUUAGCUGCUGCUGCUUCUGAUCUCCUGAGCCACUUCCAAUCCAGAACUGUCACCACGCUUGCUCUGGCUGCCGUGAGGAGGGAACUUAGCCAUAUAGCAGAUCCCAGGCUCGGCGCUCAGCCUAAACGACAUGCAGAAGAAUUAUUUUGCAGACGGACAAACCUAGGACAUGUGUUCCUGCUGGGAUCGGCACUCUGCUCUCCCCUCAUGGCCUCCCUAACAAGAGUGCGAGAGCUCAGACCAACAGCCAACUCCUCAACAACAAAAGCCUCCUUAUGGGAAACAGAAGAACAUGGAGAUUUUGCAAUUCGAGCUGAGCCAGGCAGGAACUCUUUGGCAGAAGAGGCCUCCCGAGGGAUAAACACAAUCCAGAAGAUGACUGCAGAGGGAAAUGUGACCUGCACCAUGCAGUCUUCACUAUGAAACAAACUGCUGCUGGACAUGUACACCUCUUUAGUUCCCACGCUACACAACAACUGCACCGGGCUAGGAUGCUCCAAGGGAGACAGCAUCUUGUGAAAUCUACCAGAAAACACCACAAUAAACACCACAAAACACAAGAAGGAGCCCGCCA
rnacentral:lncRNA from 1 species